GACGAACGCUGGCGGCGUGCCUAAUACAUGCAAGUUGAGCGCUGAAGGUUGGUACUUGUACCAACUGGAUGAGCAGCGGACGGGUGAGUAACGCGUGGGGAAUCUGCCUUUGAGCGGGGGACAACAUUUGGAAACGAAUGCUAAUACCGCAUAAAAACUUUAAACACAAGUUUUAAGUUUGAAAGAUGCAAUUGCAUCACUCAAAGAUGGUCCCGCGUUGUAUUAGCUAGUUGGUGAGGUAAAGGCUCACCAAGGCGAUGAUACAUAGCCGACCUGAGAGGGUGAUCGGCCACAUUGGGACUGAGACACGGCCCAAACUCCUACGGGAGGCAGCAGUAGGGAAUCUUCGGCAAUGGACGAAAGUCUGACCGAGCAGCGCCGCGUGAGUGAAGAAGGUUUUCGGAUCGUAAAACUCUGUUGGUAGAGAAGAACGUUGGUGAGAGUGGAAAGCUCAUCAAGUGACGGUAACUACCCAGAAAGGGACGGCUAACUACGUG
rnacentral:rRNA from 1 species